CCUGAUGUUUGAAUAGGUGGCAUACUACUAGGACCUAAUGUUUGAACUUAAUUGAUGUGAUCCGGUCCACCUGAGGAACUCGUACCACUUUGUUGAGGAUUGAUUGUAUGAAUGAGAAAAGUAUGCAUAUUUUCACGAGUAGCAAAAUUACCCCUAACUGAAGAUUUACCUACACGGCCUGCGCUACCUCGACCUCUACCUCGAGGCAUAUUUCCAAUUGCUCCUUUUCUUGGCCUGCAAUGGGAUGCUCCAACAUAACUUGAGCAGUAUAGUCUCUGAAAAUUCAAACAAGCAGAAGCUAAGUUACAAAAAAUUCAAGCAAAAACCAUUUAUCCGACCAACUGAUGUGAAAAACGUAUGAGUAAGUAACAUGUCGCAUUGAGAAGCAGAUGAAUGAUUAAGAGGUCCAAAUUCACAAUUUUGGCUAUACAUCAAGAGGAUCUAGUUCUCCAUCUCGAUGUAGUUCGAAAUGAGACUACUGAAGCUUUGUAUAGCAGCAUAUUGAAAGUGAAUCUCAAUCUAUCCCAUAAAUUCCAUCAAAGGAGCAGUUGCAUUUAAAACUCAGUUAGUAUUUUAAUUUUACAAGUUUGUCAGAUUUCAUAAAUUAGAUCCCUUGCUUUGUCAAGUGAUAGUGUAACGUAUCAACGCAUAGAAGCUAAGUUAAACUCUUAUAUUUUAACUAACAUAAGCUACCAAACUCCAUUGCAGGCACCUGAAGAGAUCAAGGGAAUGAUCAAGGAAACAAUAACAAAAAUGAGCAUAGAAUCUGGGAAAGAACUAAAAGAACUAGCACGUUCAAUAAAAACAAUGACUUCUCUCUUGUCGGCUAAUAAACAUGUCUCAAACGCCAAAACAGCAGUCAAGAACCUGAAAUCACUUGUCAUAUCAGGUUUCUGGGAAGAUAUUAACUUACUAGAAGUCAUACCAGUGGCUGCAGUUGCAUCAAUACUAACCGAUAUCGUCAUUUGUGUCGAACAAAUUGCUGAUUCUAUUAAUAAGCUUGCU
rnacentral:lncRNA from 1 species